UACAGAGGUCCCGAGCGUUGUUCGGAUUCAUUGGGCGUAAAGGGUGCGUAGGUGGCAAGGUAAGUUGGAUGUGAAAUCCUGGGGCUUAACCUCAGAAUUGCAUUCAAUACUGCCUCGCUAGAGAGCUGUAGAGGAGACUGGAAUUUACGGUGUAGCAGUGAAAUGCGUAGAUAUCGUAAGGAACGCCAGUGGCGAAAGCGAGUCUCUGGGCAGCAUCUGACACUGAGGCACGAAGGCCAGGGGAGCAAACGGG
rnacentral:rRNA from 1 species